GAUGAAGAACGCAGCGAAAUGCGAUAAGUAAUGUGAAUUGCAGAAUUCAGUGAAUCAUCGAAUCUUUGAACGCACCUUGCGCCCUUUGGCAUUCCGAAGGGCAUGCCUGUUUGAGUAUCAUGAACACCUCAACUCUUCAUGGUUUUCCAUGAUGAGCUUGGACUUUGGGGGUCUUGCUGGCCUGCGGUCGGCUCCUCUCAAAUGAAUCAGCUUACCAGUGUUUGGUGGGCAUCACAGGUGUGAUAACUAUCUGCGCUUGUGGUUUUCCACCAAGUAACCUUCAGCAGUGGAGGUUCACUGGAGCUCACAGACGUCUCUACUCAGUGAGGACAGCCCUUUGAAUGUUUGAUCUCAAAUCAGGUAGGACUACCCGCUGAACUUAAGCAUAUCAAUAAGCGGAGGA
rnacentral:misc_RNA from 1 species